CACAAUAAACAUAUGAAGGCUGCACCGCCAACAGGCGGCAAGGCUGGAGUCCACUUUUUAUUACCCUUAGUUCUUUACUGCGAGCAUUACCUAGUUAGCUUGCCUUCUUACCUGUUGAGUACCGGCGUUUCCGCCCGCCCUCCAUUGGACCACAUGAUAAACCUUUUAUGCAGUUGCAAUCAGCGUCAGUACAAAAACUGUAAAUCAUUUA
rnacentral:misc_RNA from 1 species